rnacentral:rRNA from 1 species
AAGGGAGAGGACAACAUGGGAAUCUGCCCUGGGGACGAGGAUAGCGUCGGGAAACUGACAGUAAUACUCGAUAAUGUUUGCGGACCAAAGGUGUGAUUCCGCCCCAGGAUGAGCCCGUGCCCCAUUAGCUUGUUGGCGGUGUAAUAGACCACCAAGGCGAUGAUGGGUAGCUGGUGUGAGAGCACGACCAGCCUCACUGGCACUGAGACACUGGCCAGACACCUACGGGUGGCUGCAGUCGAGAAUCUUUGGCAAUGGACGAAAGUCUGACCAAGCGACGCCGCGUGCGGGAUGAAGGCCUUCGGGUUGUAAACCGCUGUCGUAGGGAAUCAAAUGUACGAGGGUUCUCCCUUGUAUUUGAGAGAUCCUAGGAGGAAGGAGAGGCUAAGCUCGUGCCAGCAGCCGCGGUAAGACGAGCUCUCCAAACGUUAUUCGGUAUCACUGGGCUUAAAGAGUUCGUAGGCGGCUCAUUAGGUGGGGUGUGAAAGCCCUCGGCUCAACCGAGGAACUGCGCCCCAAACCAAUGGGCUCGAGGGGUAUAGGGGUAAGCGGAACAGAUGGUGGAGCGGUGAAAUGCAUUGA